rnacentral:rRNA from 1 species
AGGUAGUAUCUUUAAACCAACGCCUUUAAUAAUGGCGGCUUUUAACCUAAUUAGAGAAACCUGUCUCUUAAUCGUCAACACACGUUAACUUUUUCUAAUUUUAAAAGUUUAUAUACCGCCGUCAUGCCUCAUUUAAUAAAAGUAGCUUAAUAAAAUAAUUUAAUAUAUCAGGUCAAGGUGUAACCUAAAAAUUAGAGAAGAUAGGUUGCCUUAAAUAAAAUUCAAGAAUAUAAGCUUCAAAAAGCUUAUUGAAAAAGGAUUCAAUAGUAUUUUUAGAUCAAAAUUCUAAAAAGAAAAAGGUUUUUCAAGUGC